rnacentral:rRNA from 1 species
AUUGAACGCUGGCGGCAUGCCUUACACAUGCAAGUCGAACGGCAGCACGGGAGCUUGCUCCUGGUGGCGAGUGGCGAACGGGUGAGUAAUGCAUCGGAACGUACCCGGAAGUGGGGGAUAACGUAGCGAAAGUUACGCUAAUACCGCAUAUUCUGUGAGCAGGAAAGAGGGGGAUCGUAAGACCUCUCGCUUUCGGAGCGGCCGAUGUCGGAUUAGCUAGUUGGUGGGGUAAAGGCCUACCAAGGCGACGAUCCGUAGCGGGUCUGAGAGGAUGAUCCGCCACACUGGAACUGAGACACGGUCCAGACUCCUACGGGAGGCAGCAGUGGGGAAUUUUGGACAAUGGGCGAAAGCCUGAUCCAGCCAUGCCGCGUGAGUGAAGAAGGCCUUCGGGUUGUAAAGCUCUCUCGGCUGAAAAGAAAUCGCACAGGCUAAUACCUUGUGUGGAUGACGGAAUCAGCAUAAGAAGCACCGGCUAACUACGUGCCAGCCGCCGCAGUAA